rnacentral:rRNA from 1 species
AACGAACGCUGGCGGCAGGCUUAACACAUGCAAGUCGAACGCCCCGCAAGGGGAGUGGCAGACGGGUGAGUAACGCGUGGGAACAUACCCUUUCCUGCGGAAUAGCUCUGGGAAACUGGAAUUAAUACCGCAUACGCCCUACGGGGGAAAGAUUUAUCGGGGAAGGAUUGGCCCGCGUUGGAUUAGCUAGUUGGUGGGGUAAAGGCCUACCAAGGCGACGAUCCAUAGCUGGUCUGAGAGGAUGAUCAGCCACAUUGGGACUGAGACACGGCCCAAACUCCUACGGGAGGCAGCAGUGGAGAAUAUUGGACAAUGGGCGCAAGCCUGAUCCAGCCAUGCCGCGUGAGUGAUGAAGGCCUUAGGGUUGUAAAGCUCUUUCGCCGACGAAGAUAAUGACGGUAGUCGGAGAAGAAGCCCCGGCUAACUUCGUGCCAGCCGCCGCGGUAACAC